GAUGAAGAACGCAGCGAAAUGCGAUAAGUAAUGUGAAUUGCAGAAUUCAGUGAAUCAUCGAAUCUUUGAACGCACAUUGCGCCCGCCAGUAUUCUGGCGGGCAUGCCUGUUCGAGCGUCAUUUCAACCAUCAAGCCCCCGGCUUGUGUUGGGGACCUGCGGCUGCCGCAGGCCCUGAAAACCAGUGGCGGGCUCACUAGUCACUCCGAGCGUAGUAAUACAUCUCGCUCAGGGCGUGCUGCGGGUUCCGGCCGUUAAAAAGCCUUAUUUACCCAAGGUUGACCUCGGAUCAGGUAGGAAGACCCGCUGAACUUAAGCAUAUCAAUAAGCGGAGGA
rnacentral:misc_RNA from 1 species